GAGUUUUUAUCAGAAAAUUAAAAGAUUAAUUCGGAUUUAUACUGCUCGCGAUUGGACCGAUUAAAGAUAGAAAUUGACAAAAAAACGUCCGGAAUUAUCUAAUGGUAAAGGUAUUAUCUUUCAUCGUGACAAUACAAGGCCUCAUGUCUCUGUAACCGUUUGGCAGAAAUUGAUAUAGUUGGGUUGGGACGUUUUACCUCACUCGCCGUAUUCACCGGACCUUGCACCCUCCGAUUUCCAUUUAUUCGGAUUCCUGCAAAAUUCCCUUAAUAACAACAACUUCAGUUCCCCGGAAGCCUGUAAAAAUCACUUGGAUCAGUUUUUUAAUCAACAAACUGAGAACUACACAGAUGGAAUUAUGGCGCUGCCUAAAAGAUGGCAAAAAGUUAUCGAAAAAAAUGGUGAAUAUCUGGAUGAAUAAAGUUAGAUCUAAAUAAAAAAAUAACGGCUUUCAAUUUAAUUAAAAAAACUGAACAAACUUUCCAUUCAACCCAAUAAUAAGUUUGGUGAUGAUUACGGCAAAAGGAAAUGGGACAAAUGCAUUGUGAUGCAGGAGACAUAUUUGAAGAUUACUUGAAAGAUUAAAUAUUUUAUUAAAAAUUAAAUUUUUGUCUCGUUAUUCUUUGAUACACUCUUGUACAUAUGUAAUAUUUAAUAACGUAGUAUGUUACUGCGUGUUACAAUCAAUAUAUUAUACAUUGUCUAAUAAAUAUUAAAGAUGUA